rnacentral:tRNA from 1 species
GCCCUCGUAGCUCAGUGGAUAGAGCGACGGCCUUCGAAGCCGUGCGUCGUGGGUUCGAAUCCUACCGGGGGCA